UUCGCCCUUAGGGUUUGAUCAUGGCUCAGGAUGAACGCUGGCGGCGUGCCUAAUACAUGCAAGUCGAGCGAAUGGAUUAAGAGCUUGCUCUUAUGAAGUUAGCGGCGGACGGGUGAGUAACACGUGGGUAACCUACCUAUAAGACUGGAAUAACUCCGGGAAACCGGGGCUAAUGCCGGAUAACAUAUAGAACCGCAUGGUUCUAUAGUGAAAGAUGGUUUUGCUAUCACUUAUAGAUGGACCCGCGCCGUAUUAGCUAGUUGGUAAGGUAAUGGCUUACCAAGGCGACGAUACGUAGCCGACCUGAGAGGGUGAUCGGCCACACUGGAACUGAGACACGGUCCAGACUCCUACGGGAGGCAGCAGUAGGGAAUCUUCCGCAAUGGGCGAAAGCC
rnacentral:rRNA from 1 species